UGAUCCUCCCACCACAGCCUCCCAAAGUGCUGAGAUUACAGCCUGGUGCAUCUCAGAAUGCUGAUUUGGAUAAUUCAACAGAACAUGACCUUCAGAGCAAUGAUAAACUGCUGAACAGAUGUUAAGUAGCUGUUUGUGAUGACACCCUUGGUUCCCCUUGUAAGAUAUUAUUCAAGUGUGCAGAUCCUGUUGACUUUGAAUGUAGCUCAAAGUUCAGAUGAGCCUGAGAGUAUAUGGUGCCGGACAAAACACAAAUUCUUAAUUAUGUGGUUAGAGCUGAAGAAAUAAAUUCAAUCUGAUCAUGAAUUCAGCCCAUAAGUUUGAGAUUUCAACUCCAUGUGAAUAUUUUCUUGGUUUUUGAAAGUUUCAAUUAGACUUACUAAAAACAAUUUAACUGUAAUACCCUUCAAAAGAUCUAAACUCUUGGCUAAUUGCACAAGAAAAGAGUGGAACAGAAAUCAACACAAC